UACGAAGGGGACUAGCGUUGUUCGGAUUUACUGGGCGUAAAGCGCGCGUAGGCGGAUCGCUAAGUCAGGGGUGAAAUCCCAGGGCUCAACCCUGGAACUGCCUUUGAUACUGGAUGUCUGGAGAUCGGGAGAGGUUGGUGGAAUUCCGAGUGUAGAGGUGAAAUUCGUAGAUAUUCGGAGGAACACCAGAAGCGAAGGCGGCCAACUGGCCCGAUACUGACGCUGAGGCGCGAAAGCGUGGGGAGCAAACAGG
rnacentral:rRNA from 1 species